rnacentral:rRNA from 1 species
UGGGGAUUAUUCCACAAUGGGCGCAAGCCUGAUGCAGCCAUGCCGCGUGUAUGAAGAAUGCCUUCGGGUUGUAAACUACUUUCAGCGGGGAGGAAGGGAGUAAAGUUAAUACCUUUGCUCAUUGACGUUACCCGCAGAAGAAGCACCGGCUAACUCCGUGCCAGCAGCCGCGGUAAUACGGAGGGUGCAAGCGUUAAUCGGAAUUACUUGGCGUAAAGCGCACGCAGGCGGUUUGUUAAGUCAGAUGUGAAAUCCCCGGGCUCAACCUGGGAACUGGAUCUGAAACUGGGAAGCUUGAGUCUCGUAGAGGGGGGUAGAAAUCCAGGUGGAGCGGUGAAAAGCGUAGAGAACUGGAGGAAUACCGGUGGCGAAGGCGGCCCCCUGGACGAAGACUGACGAUCAGGUGGGAAAGCGUGGGGAGGAAACAGG